GUUCAGGGGGGGUGAGCGGCGUCUCCGGUGAGGUUCAGGUGGUGGACUCUCCUCUCCUCAAACAGCAGAUCGACGUGCAGCGACUCGCCAUCAAGCAGCUGAAGAGUGACAACUACAGACUGAAGGUCAGUGUGAGCCGCUUCACACACACACACACAGGUCCAGACUCUGACCUCUGCCCUCUGACCUCUGACCCCAGCAGGCUGAGAAGAUGCGAGCGCAGCUGUCGUCUCUGCCGCCGCUGCAGCCGGUGAACAUGACGAAGGAGGCUCCCGCCGGAUCUCUGUACCGCAGAACUGACCUGCUGCUGAACAACCUGCUGAAGAUGAGCGCCGGCCUCAGAGUCGUCGACAUCAGCGGGAAAACCUCAGGCUGACGUGUCGCAGCACAUCGUUUCGCAGCAGCCUGGAGCUCGUAUGCCGUCCGACUUCGCCACGUUCCCCUCCGCCUCUUUCGUCAAGGCCAGAGCGGAGCAGCAGAGCGGCUCGGUGCUGGUGGGGAAGGUGAUGAUUCCCUGCGCUCGCAGACACACCGCCUCGUCCUGUCGCAGCAGCAGCUGCAGCGCGUGCAUCGCCUGCUCAUGACCUAAACAAUCCCACGCUGUCAGGAGACAUCCGGCGCCAAAGACAGCUGCUCGUCUUCUGAAAGCCAUUCAACGCCUAAACACAGCAUCACGUUUCUCACAUGGGAUAAUACAGCAGGUGUGACUUUUUUUAGUAUUGCG
rnacentral:lncRNA from 1 species